rnacentral:misc_RNA from 1 species
AAGUCGUAACAAGGUUUCCGUAGGUGAACCUGCGGAAGGAUCAUUAAUGAAUUCUUAUUCAUCCAUGUAUGUGAACUCGCUUAAGCCGGAUGCCUCUAACGCUUAAUGAAGAUUGGUGGACUUUGAGCCAUCAGUCGUUUUUUACCCACCCUCUGAUCAUUAUUAUGACUGAAAUCACUUUUGUUGAGUGUAAAAACAAAACUUAAGGACAACUUUUAGCAACGGAUCUCUAGGCUCUC